CUGACUAAUUAAUUAGCGCCUACUAAACUCGUUUGUUGGCUAGCAAAGUGGCAGGUGUUGUUUUAACAAUUUCUGGGCAUUUUAAACGGAUAUAAUAAACAAAUGGCAGAUGACGUAUUAUUUGAAUUUCUGCAUAUGGAGAUCGUUUCCUAUGUAGAACAAUCAGCAAAGAAAGAUGAAAAGGAUCGUUUGGUAGCUAAACUGGAGCAGAUGGGGUACAGAGUUGGCCAAAGUGUGGUAGAACGCUUAACUAAGGACACCCCAAGAUUCUCGAGUGAAUUGGACAUCAUUAAAUUCAUUUGUAAAGACUUUUGGUCCAGCAUCCUCAAAAAACAGGUUGACAAUCUUAGAACAAACCACCUGGGUGUCUAUGUUCUGCAAGACAACAAAUUCAGGUUUCUUGUCCAGCUGUCAGCUAGCAAGCAAUAUCUGGAAGCAGCACCAAAGUAUUUAGCAUUUACAUGUGGUCUGGUGCGUGGAGCUCUAGCCAACGUGGGACUGAAUUGCAUUGUCACAGCGGAAGUCAGCAAUAUGCCAGCAUGUAAAUUCCAAAUCAUGAUCCAGAGGUCAUAGCCACUGAUGAGGACAACUGUAGCUACAGUUUGCCAUCAUACAAGAUGAGACCAAAAUGGUAUGGUCACUGUAACAGCCCUCAGUGGCUGAGUAAGCUUCCCCAUUCCAUGUAUUCAGGGUAAGGCUACAGUGAAUUAACCAAAUCAAUGUCUCAAAGGACUUGCUGUCCAUAGGAUAUUCUGAUGUAUUAUUGAUCUGAAAAUUAUGCAUUUUUAAGUAGGAGCAUGCUUCAGCGAAAGCUUGAUUUGGUUUUUCAUGGUGGCAUAAAUGGUUGGGAUUUAAAAAGCCUGUAGUGGCCUCCCAUAUUGUGACUGCAACACAGAAAAUUUCAAAUGAAAAUGAAUUACCACCUAUGAACUCUCAACUCCAAAGCACUACAGGCAUCCGAGAUUAAAUCUCCAAUUAGGCCUUAACUCUGCUGAAUCCAACCACAGUAGCCAUUAGUUGCCAACUUCUGUUGGAUUUUUCAUAUGCAAGCAGUAAAUGAAAAUCCAUUUGUUCUAGCUUUUGGAUGCUUGCCAAAUCCUCCAAAUCAAAGAUCGAGUUCAACAGAGAGUUGAAGAUAUUUGUGGUGGUAGUGUUAUCCAGUGUGAAAGUCCAUUAGUCUAAUUUUGAAAUGUGACUGAACCAACAGAAUAAAGGUCAGACAGUGUUCAUUUUAUCACUCCGUUUUAUUUGGAAUGCUUGUAUGUAAAUCACAUGUAAGUGUUUUUUUAAUCAUUGAACUUGGUGUCACAGAGCAUGUCCCAAUUUGCCACUUGGUUAACCAAGAGAGUCUACUCCAAUUCCAUGGUGCUGUUCACAUCAGCACAAAGAGGCUCUGUGCUACCACUAUACCCAGUACGGAGAUAUCCAUUGUUCCAUCACAACAAAUACUCCGGCAAAGAUUGAGCAAACUCUGUGCUGCCGCAUAUGCUACUUCAUGAAGUGAAGAUUGCUUCCAUUACAAUCGCAGAUUAUGUGCUAAACACGUUAGUGGACAGCACCAAAGUUGACCACAGUGAAAGAAAAGUUAAAUUAUGUACAAAAGUCAAUUCGUUUGCCCACAUCUCUCUCUAGAUGACUACAUUUGUAGUUCCUUAUAGGUAAUGAUUUACACAUAAACCUAGCAAAAUUUGGGAAUAGCAUCAGCAAUGUGAAGUCUAUCGUCGAAAAAUUAAGUCUGUGUAAAUAAACAACACAUUUACACCAAUGUACUGUAAAUAUAUAUAAACUGUAAAUUUAUUGUAAUAAUUGAUUAUAAAAUUGAAUUGUUUCGCUCAAGCCAUACUCUGUUUGUGUCAGUAUAUGUACAGCAUACAAGCCUGUCAAUUCAUAGCCAGGUUUCUGGUAGUCGAUAAUUUUGAUCCAUAAGUGCUAAGAUAUCGUUUUGACUUCUUGGAACCUGGCUUACAAUAUAGAUGGUUUCAGAAUCUAUAGUAUCCAUUGAGUAUUUAAUCAUGUGGAAUCAUUAAAACCCUAACCCCCUUAGUACUUCCUCAGGACUACCUUGCUUAAUCCAACAGAGUUCAACCGGACUUUCCUGCUCAAUCCACUGUGCCUCAUUUUCAGUUGUCUGCUGAAUCCAACAGAGUCCAACAUGGCGUUAUAAUGCGGUUCAGUUGCCUGCUGAAUCCAACAUUUUGCAUGAGGAAUGUACACAAGGGGUUAACUGCUCAAUCCAACAGGCUCCAUCGGGUAUGUGACAUAGUUGGAUCCUGCUGGAUUCAGCAGGGUUAGGGUUUUGAAUCAACAAAUAACAGUAAUUUUAGUGAAAUAUAAAUAACAUCAGUGAUCUUUCUUUGACCUUUACUUCCGGGGUUACUGUGAGUGGACAUGCAAAGAGAAAUGAUUAUAACUUGAAAAUGGAAAUGUUUUAUUACAGUUUAUACAAAUUAUACAAAUGCUUAAUGAGGCAUGGCAAACACAAAAGGCGGCAUUUUUUUUUAUUAAAAAAUAAUUGAUUGAUGAUGUCAUCAGACCAGAAAUUAUUAUAGGGAGAAUUAGAAAAAAAAUUCUCAUUUUCCCCUUUUUUUAAUCAAAAUCCAUCACUGAUUGUUACACAAGUAAUGAUGUCAUCGAACUGGAAAGUAUGUGUAAUCAAUACAUAUCCAUUAUAUGUGUAAUCAAUACAUAUCCAUUAUGUUCACGUAAUUUUCAUAUUUUUCGACAUUCUUUUCACUUUAUCUUGCUAAUGUAAUCUAUCUAAACUAAAUCCAUAUUCAUUCUACAUAUUUUAAGUGAUGUCAUCAUCAAACCGGAAGUAACAUGUUAUUAGAGUGUUGAUGAAAUCUAUUAAAUCCAAAGAGAUGCAUUUGUUCAAACUAAUAAAUGGUUUUAAACUGAAAAAAAUUA
rnacentral:misc_RNA from 1 species